rnacentral:rRNA from 1 species
AUGCGGCUCGACGGCGAGAAAGACAGCCGGAGUGGCGGCCACGGGCUGCUGCUCUUCUCCGUUAAGGCACCGCGGCGGGACAGGGACGACGUUCGACACCCACAUCGGAAGACCUGCUCGCAAUUUCUAGUGUCGGGCUGCGGAACUAGACGAACCUCGGCCGAUGCCAAGUCCAUAAACUGCAUUUCCAGUGGGAGAGGGAGGUAUAAGUGCGAGAGGUACCCGUCCAUCCAACGUCCUCUGUGUUGUUUGCUCUGUCUGUGCGCCUGUGCGCAAUUUGUGGCUGCCGCUUCGUUGCCAUUUUCCCUUAUUUUUUUACCUGAGAGAUAA